GUCCUUGUAGCGCAAGUAUAGCACGUUGGACUUUUCUAAUCCAAAGAUCGUGGGUUCGAAUCCCACCUGGGAUG